AAUCAUUUUCCUUAACAUGACAAGCAACAACAUGAGCUAAAUCACCAGCAAACACAACAGGAAUCAUCAAAACAGAGUUAUCAUCACUAUUCUCAUGAGCAACAACAGUACUAGCACAAUAUUUCCCAUCAGAGGAAGUUUCAAAAUGAACUGGGGUUUGCACAAAACCAACAAGAUUAACAGAAUUUGCAACUUUUGCUUGGUAAGGUAUCUCACUUGGCUUUGGCCAAGAAGACACAUCUUUUGCUUCAUCAUAAAUCUCAAUUCUUGGAUGGGUUAGCACAUAAGCUGAAGAGGGUUCUUGGGGUUUAGGGAUUUUGGGUUUUCUUGGCUUAGAAAUGGUUGUAGAGGCAAAUCUUGAACUGAGGGUUUGGAGUAAAAGUUGGCAUUUUUGAGGAGAUGAAGAGGAGAAUAAGGCCUUUUUUG
rnacentral:misc_RNA from 1 species